UGAAGAAAAAGUAUAAUAGAUAUUGAAAAGAUAAAUACAAGUUGAAUAGUUGAAUGUCUUGUCUUCGUUUUAAAGUUUGAAUGGUGGCUCUAUGUCAAUGUAUGUGGAAGUAGAUACAGUUUAAAGAGGAGGAAGUUGAAUGAGAAUUUGAAGGGUCUCCCCAUUGAAAUACAUGGGAAAUUUUUGUUGAAAAAAGUUGAAUAAAAUUAAAAAUAUAAAUGUUAAAAAUGAGAAAAAUAGAAGCAGUCAUGUCCAAAAGAAUAGGAAUCUAAUGGUGUUUGAAUGGUUUUUUCUAAUUGAACGGUUUUGAAGGAGUAGGCUUUCAAAAAACGUACGGAAGAAUAAAAUAGAAUAAAGAUUAGAAGAACAAUACUGUGAAUGCUUUUCAAGCAUUCACACUAAUAAUAAUAAAGAUUAGAAUAACAAUACUGUGAAUGCUUUUCAAGCAUUCACACU
ensembl:lncRNA